GACGAACGCUGGCGGCGUGCUUAACACAUGCAAGUCGAACGGAAAGACCCUGCUUUUGUGGGGUGCUCGAGUGGCGAACGGGUGAGUAACACGUGAGUAACCUGCCCUUGACUUUGGGAUAACUUCAGGAAACUGGGGCUAAUACCGGAUAGGAGCUCCUGCUGCAUGGUGGGGGUUGGAAAGUUUCGGCGGUUGGGGAUGGACUCGCGGCUUAUCAGCUUGUUGGUGGGGUGGUGGCUUACCAAGGCUUUGACGGGUAGCCGGCCUGAGAGGGUGACCGGCCACAUUGGGACUGAGAUACGGCCCAGACUCCUACGGGAGGCAGCAGUGGGGAAUAUUGCACAAUGGGCGGAAGCCUGAUGCAGCAGCGCCGCGUGCGGGAUGACGGCCUUCGGGUUGUAAACCGCUUUCGCCUGUGACGAAGCGUGAGUGACGGUAAUGGGUAAAGAAGCACCGGCUAACUACGUG
rnacentral:rRNA from 1 species